rnacentral:hammerhead_ribozyme from 1 species
AUCUAGCUGACGAGUCCCGAAUAGGACGAAUCGCGUGUCUUGAAU